ACGCUCGACACCUACGGCAGCAGUGGGGAAUAUUGCACAAUGGGGGAAACCCUGAUGCAGCGACGCCGCGUGAAGGAUGAAGUAUUUCGGUAUGUAAACUUCUAUCAGCAGGGAAGAAAGUGACGGUACCUGACUAAGAAGCCCCGGCUAACUACGUGCCAGCAGCCGCGGUAAUCUGAGCGGGCUGGCAAGGC
rnacentral:rRNA from 1 species